rnacentral:rRNA from 1 species
UACGGAGGAUCCGAGCGUUAUCCGGAUUUAUUGGGUUUAAAGGGUGCGCAGGCGGGAGAUUAAGUCGGCGGUGAAAUUUUGCAGCUCAACUGUAAAAGUGCCUUCGAAACUGGUUUCCUUGAGUGUAGAUGAAGUAGGCGGAAUUUGUGGUGUAGCGGUGAAAUGCAUAGAUAUCACGAGGAACUCCGAUUGCGCAGGCAGCUUACUAAACUACUACUGACGCUCAUGCACGAAGGCGUGGGGAUCAAACAGGAUUAGAUACCCCGGUAGU